UCCAUAGUUUAAAGGUAGAACAAACCGCUCAUAACGGUUUUGUGUAGGUUCAAUUCCUGCUGGAACCA
rnacentral:tRNA from 1 species